rnacentral:rRNA from 1 species
UACGUAGGGGGCUAGCGUUGUCCGGAAUCAUUGGGCGUAAAGAGCGUGUAGGCGGCCCGGUAAGUCCGCUGUGAAAGUCGGGGGCUCAACCCUCGAAUGCCGGUGGAUACUGUCGGGCUCGAGUCCGGAAGAGGAGUGUGGAAUUCCUGGUGUAGCGGUGAAAUGCGCAGAUAUCAGGAGGAACACCAAUGGCGAAGGCAGCACUCUGGGACGUGACUGACGCUGAGACGCGAAAGCGUGGGGAGCAAACAGG